rnacentral:pre_miRNA from 1 species
GAAUCAUUGGAAUACUCAUCGAAUUUGUCAUAGUGUUUCAGUUGUGUUAUGGAACCAAUUUUUCUCCCACUCCCAUACMUACCACCCAAUUAAUGGCACAGCUAGAACACUCUGACAAAUUGGAUGAGUWUUCCAAUAGUC